CUGCAGCCAAUUAAGCCGACGGAGUUCCUUUCCUCAUGGGGGCCCAGUGUGCAAUGGCUGCAAACAGCAGCUUCCCUGGUAGUGAUGCAGUCUGUUUGUUGUAUGGGUUGCUCUAAGGGACCUUGGAGACAGUC
rnacentral:snoRNA from 1 species